UCACGUGGUAAGAACCCAGUGGGCUCUCACUGAUCAGGGCUAAAGACCAACUAAUCAGAUACCCAGGGAACGUGUAACUUUUAACCCAGGGAGGGUUUCCAUCCAAACACAGACACACCAUCCCACGCAGACAGAGCCCCUCAAGCCAGGAAAUGAGAUCAGCUCCACUCAGGUGGAUUUUAAAAUAAUUAUGAACUGAGAGAAAGCUGCAUUGAAAAAGAAGGGGGGGGGACACACCCGGCUUGUCCUUUCAGAUGAGCUUACUAAGCAGAAAGAAAAGCCAAUGUAAUCUCUGCUAGAAAUCACGCUUGGGAGACAGAUGCCAGCUCCUGUAUGGGAAGUGCAAGAAAGCAGCAGCUCUGUGGACUCUGACGGUCCCCGGCAAGAUGUUGCAAUUAGGAAACAGUUCAAAGGGGCUGACUGAAGUGAAGAGAAUAGCUAUUGAAUUUAAAAUCGCCCAGUUGUUAGAAGUGUGCCCGCUAGUGCCGCUGCAGUGGGGAGUACGCUAGUGUCCUCCCUUCCUCUCCCCCACCCCCGGGGCUGAUAACUGGGACAUGAUGGACAUUUCCCACAGAUUGAACUUGGCACACAGGCGCUCAGCCUGAAAUAUAAGCAAUGCCACUGGCUUCUAGAACCAGCCCUACCCCACACCAACAACAUUUUCCAGGCAACACUGUAAGAAUGCAUCCAUGGGAUCGAUAGAUGGUUUAUAUAUUAUAUAGUCUGGGGGGGUUCGUUUAUUUUGUCUGUUUGAUAGGACUGCAUUAAGAAAUUGAAAACAAACUUUUCAAGCCAUUAGCCCGUAGGACACCCCAGGCCCAGUUAAAAUAUACCGUAAAUGACACAGCCGGCAUAGGGAGGUUAUAAAAACAUAUCCCGUGCAGGCAAAGGAACGACUCGUGAGGAUUUGUACUCCGGAGCCACAACAUUCAAUUCGGAAGACUCCAUUACAGAGUCUACUGCAAAUCAUGUGCAUUAAAAAUGCUAUGGAGUACGAGUACCCCGAGAAGUGAGCUCUGUGCUGCAGAUCCGGAGUCAAGCCUGUUUCACAACACAGCGCCCAUCAUGACAGUAACGCGCACACAAGCCACGAAAGUUUAUCGUAGGAAAUGCACGUUAAAUCAUGUACAAGUUUUGUCAACCCCCACCCCCAACAGCUCUACUGACAGGAGCCCUUUAAUGACAUCAAAUGGGAGAUGUGGAAUUAAGCGAAGUACGCCAUAAAAAUGGCACACAGCAAAUGCGGUAAGGCAGCGGACAUCGCUCCAGCGAAGCUGCGGAACUCCGAAGUUAAAGGCUGCUGCUCCACGCCGCGGUUAGCCCACCCUGCUGUGCCUGGUCCUCUCACUGCCGCUGAGCACUGCCUGCCUUUUACUCUCUCCGGAGUCGCUGCAACACCCAGGCACACACCGUGAGGGGGAGAUGCCGGGGUUCAAGCGCCCCUUUGAGCCUCAAUUCUGAAGUUCCCGCAUUUGGUCGCCUUAGAACAGAGCCUUCCCCUUAUUGCAAAAUUAAAGCCAUACUCCCCCUCCCCCGAAGAAGAACUGGCCGCACUGAGCUUCUGUUGCAGGGAGCUAGUUAAGAAGACUCCUGUGUAAAAAGGAAAUAGGAAAAAUCUAUCAUCUGAUGUGUGAACACUACAAGAGGUUCUGAAAGUAGGAGACAGGUGGCUGAGUCCUGAUGUGAUCUGGAGAGGCAUCGCUACCAACCUUGGUCCAUGUCAAAAGCAAUAACAAAGGAAGGAGGAGUUUGGAGAUCCAGAGAAACAACCAUGCCAAGGACUGAUGGUGGCCUUCCAUUAGGAGUAGCACUGUGGUCUCCUUAUUGAACAGUACAGGCAGGGCCAGAUUAACUCUCCUGUGGGCCUGGGGCUAUUAGAUUUUGUGGAGCCCCCGUAUACAAGUCUUGUUCCUAAUUUAAAACAAAAUGAUCAUAAUUAUGGCAUUGAGGAUAUUAAUGCUAUACUAAA